AAUAAAUAUGAUUAUAAUAAAUGUUUACUAUAUAUUGAAAAUUACAAAAUCUGCAAAAAAUUUUGGGCAAAGAUAAUAAACUACCGAAAGAUAAAAAAUAUAAAACCUUAUAUUCCUUUACCAGAAGAACGACAAAAAA